AUACGUAGGGGGCGAGCGUUGUCCGGAAUGAUUGGGCGUAAAGGGCGCGUAGGCGGCCCGGUAAGUCUGGAGUGAAAGUCCUGUUUUUAAGAUGGGAAUUGCUUUGGAUACUGUCGGGCUUGAGUGCAGGAGAGGUAAGUGGAAUUCCCAGUGUAGCGGUGAAAUGCGUAGAGAUUGGGAGGAACACCAGUGGCGAAGGCGACUUACUGGACUAUAACUGACGCUGAGGCGCGAAAGUGUGGGGAGCAAACAGGAUUAGAUACCCUGGUAGUCCACACUGUAAACGAUGAAUGCUAGGUGUAGGGGGUAUCGACCCCUUCUGUGCCGCAGUCAACACAAUAAGCAUUCCGCCUGGGGAGUACGGCCGCAAGGUUGAAACUCAAAUGAAUUGGCGGGG
rnacentral:rRNA from 1 species